UUUAAGUCCCCUGCCCUUUGUACACACCGCCCGUCGCUACUACCGAUUGAAUGGCUUAGUGAGGCCUCCGGAUCUGGCUAGCCUCGAGGGCAACCUCGUCGCAGGCCGGAGAAGCUGGUCAAACUUGGUCAUUUAGAGGAAGUAAAAGUCGUAACAAGGUUUCCGUAGGUGAACCUGCGGAAGGAUCAUUAAAAUACUUUUCAAAACUUUGUUUUGAAUUAAAAGCAACCACCGUUAAGUUCAAAAAUCUAAAACAAAACUUUCAACAACGGAUCUCUUGGUUCUCGCAUCGAUGAAGAACGCAGCGAAUUGCGAUACGUAGUAUGACUUGCAGACGUGAAUCAUCGAAUCUUUGAACGCAUAUUGCGCCUUGGGGCAUUCCCCAAGGCAUGCCUGUUUGAGCGUGAUAUCUUCUCACCGUUGGUGGAUUUGUUUCUAAAUAUCAUGCCACAGUGAAGUCUACGCUUUCACUGCUGGAUUGCCUCAGUAACGGCGAGUGAAGCGGCAAGAGCUCAACUUUGGAAUCGCUGCGGCGAGUUGUAGUCUGGAGGUGGCCGGUCCCGGCGCCAGCGCGCAGCCAAGUCCUUUGGAACAAGGCGCCUGAGAGGGUGACAGCCCCGUGGCAGUUUGUGCUGGUGCCGCCUCGGCCCACCGACGAGUCGAGUUGUUUGGGAAUGCAGCUCUAAGUGGGUGGUAAAUUCCAUCUAAAGCUAAAUACCGGCGAGAGACCGAUAGCGAACAAGUACAGUAAUGGAAAGAUGAAAAGCACUUUGAAAAGAGAGUGAAACAGUACGUGAAAUUGUUGAAAGGGAAGGGCUUGCACCCAGACACGGCCUUCUGGCCGGGCCAGCAUCGGGUGGGAGGGAGCGACAACGAGCAGUCGAUGUAGUACAGCCCUCUGGGCUGUGCAUUAUACGUCUUGCUUUCUGGCUCCUCUCCCGCCCG
rnacentral:rRNA from 1 species